rnacentral:rRNA from 1 species
AGUGAACGCUGGCGGUAGGCCUAACACAUGCAAGUCGAACGGCAGCACAGUAAGAGCUUGCUCUUACGGGUGGCGAGUGGCGGACGGGUGAGGAAUACAUCGGAAUCUACUUUUUCGUGGGGGUUAACGUAGGGAAACUUACGCUAAUACCGCAUACGACCUACGGGUGAAAGCAGGGGAUCUUCGGACCUUGCGCGAUUGAAUGCGCCGAUGUCGGAUUAGCUAGUUGGCGGGGUAAUGGCCCACCAAGGCGACGAUCCGUAGCUGGUCUGAGAGGAUGAUCAGCCACACUGGAACUGAGACACGGUCCAGACUCCUACGGGAGGCAGCAGUGGGGAAUAUUGGACAAUGGGCGCAAGCCUGAUCCAGCCAUACCGCGUGGGUGAAGAAGGCCUUCGGGUUGUAAAGCCCUUUUGUUGGGAAAGAAAAGCAGCAGGUUAAGACCCCGCUGUUCUGACGGUACCCAAAGAAUAAGCACCGGCUAACUUCGUG